GACGAACGCUGGCGGCGUGCUUAACACAUGCAAGUCGAGCGGAAAGGCCCUUCGGGGUCCUCGAGCGGCGAACGGGUGAGUAACACGUGAGUAAUCUGCCCUUGGCUUUGGGAUAACUACCGGAAACGGUGGCUAAUACCGGAUACGACAACCGUCUGCAUGGGCUGGUUGUGGAAAGUUUUUUCGGCCAGGGAUGUGCUCGCGGCCUAUCAGCUUGUUGGUGGGGUAAUGGCCUACCAAGGCUUCGACGGGUAGCCGGCCUGAGAGGGUGACCGGCCACACUGGGACUGAGACACGGCCCAGACUCCGACGGGAGGCAGCAGUGGGGAAUAUUGGACAAUGGGCGGAAGCCUGAUCCAGCAACGCCGCGUGAGGGAUGACGGCCGUCGGGUUGUAAACCUCUUGCAGUACCGACGAAGCGCCGAUGAUGGUGGUGACGGUAGGUACAGAAGAAGCACCGGCCAACUACGUG
rnacentral:rRNA from 1 species